CAGCCCUUUGGUAGGUGCGCUUUGCUUCCUAACCCGUUGCCGGGUUGGAGAUUCCACCUCCGAAGUUUUCUUUCUGACUUUUGAUUUUACAUUCCUAGUACAGUGGAGAAGCCCAGGCGGCCUAGAAUCCAGUGUCGUCCGUGAGUGCUUGGCUGGUGUUCAAGUGCAUCUUCCAGCCUGAGACCGCGUGGACUCGCUCAUCGUGAGGGCGAGAGGAGGAUAAGCCCAUUGGGCUGUCGGCUGAGAGUGAGGUGCGGGACCAUCCACAAUAUUGUUUGAACAUCUGAAGACAUGGGGAACUUGCCAUCUGAUAUCUGAUAACAGACUUCCUGUAAAGCAGGACUGGUAGUUUCCUGAUAACAAAUUCUUCAAUAUGAAGGAUAUAGCUGUGUCCUUUACAACUGGUAGCAUGGAAAGAAAGAGAAGUCUGCAAAGAUUGAACAAACAGCAUGCACUGUGGUAUCCUUUAUUUAAAAAUUGUGAGCUGACUACAGUUGUAGUGUUCUCAUUUACCAUUCUGAUGGCAUAAUAAACCAAGAGAACAUUAACACAAUUCCAAGAAGGCAUUAACCUGUAACACACAUAUACGCCACACAUGCACACACACAACAUACACGCACACAAAGGUUAUAUUCUGAACACAAAAGUGAUAGAAAAAAGCUUUGAAUGCGCUAAAUCAAAUAAAAACCCUUUAUUAUAAUAAA
rnacentral:lncRNA from 1 species